rnacentral:piRNA from 1 species
UAGCAAUGCAUUGUCCUUUGCUUCCUGG